GGAUGGGGGGGCAUCUUAGUGUGGCAACUGUCACUUCAUUGAUGGCCAGGGUUACCUCAGCAGAUCUGGUGGACUAGGUGGAUGGCCUCUUUCUACCCCACUGCUCCAUGUGCGUCCUUCUCCAAGUUGUGUGCUCAGUGUAUGAAGAUGACCUUCCCUGCGUGAGGAGGCUAGUUCUGCGAUCUCUAAGGGUCUCUGAGUAGCUGCUUGCCCCUUCUAGAACCUCUAAGACAAGCUCUCGAGGUCCGUUUGUAGGAGAGUAGAGGAGAGUUAAGUUUCCAAGACUCCAAACUCAGGCAAAUGAGGUGCUGCUACAUGUGGCAGCCUGUCUUUCUUU
rnacentral:snRNA from 1 species